GUGCAGCAGGCGCGAAAACUCCGCAAUGCGCGUAAGCGUGACGGGGUCAUCCCGAGUGCCGUCCGCUGAGGAUGGCUUUUCUCCGGUCUAACCAGCCGGAGGAAUAAGGGGAGGGCAAGUCUGGUGUCAGCCGCCGCGGUAAUACCAGCUCCCCGAGUGGUUGGGACGAUUAUUGGGUCUAAAGCGUCCGUAGCCGGCUGAGGAAGUUCUCCGUUAAAUCCAACGAUUCAAUCGUUGGGCUGCGGGGAAUACACCUCAGCUUGGGGGCGAGGGAGGGCGGCGGUAUUUCCGGGGUAGGGGCGAAAUCCUAUAAUCCCGGAAGGACCACCAGCGGCGAAGGCGGCCGACAAAAACGCGCCCGACGGUGAGGGACGAAAGCCAGGGGCACAAACCGGAUUAGAUACCCCGGUAGUCC
rnacentral:rRNA from 1 species